rnacentral:rRNA from 1 species
UGCCAGCAGCCGCGGUAAUACGAAGGUGGCGAGCGUUGUUCGGAUUUACUGGGCAUAAAGGGCGUGUAGGCGGCUUGGUAAGCGGAAUGUGAAAUCCCGGGGCUCAACCCCGGAACUGCAUUCCGAACUGCCGAGCUAGAGGACAGGAGGGGGAUCUGGAACUCUAGGUGGAGCGGUGAAAUGCGUAGAUAUCUAGAGGAACGCCGGUGGCGAAAGCGAGAUCCUGGCCUGUCCCUGACGCUGAGGCGCGAAAGCGUGGGUAGCAAACAGGAUUAGAUA